ensembl:snRNA U6 U6 spliceosomal RNA
GUGCUCACUUUGGCAGCAUAUAUUCUAACAGUGGAAUGAUACAGAGAAAAUUAGCAUGGCCCCUGCGCAAGGAUGAUAUGCAAAUUCUUGAAAUGUUCCAUAUUUUU